CCUACGGGGUGCAGCAGUGGGGAAUAUUGCACAAUGGGGGGAACCCUGAUGCAGCAACGCCGCGUGGGUGAAGAAGUACUUCGGUAUGUAAAGCCCUGUCAGCAGGGGAGAAAAUGACGGUACCUGACCACGCAGCCCCGGCUACCUCCGUGCCAGCGGCCGCGGUAAUACGGAGGGGGCAAGCGUUAUCCGGAUUUACUGGGUGUAAAGGGAUCGUAGACGGCAAGGCAAGUCUGGAGUGAAAGCCCGUGGCUCAGCCACGGGACUGCGUUUGAAACUGUGUGGCUGGAGUGCAGGAGGGGUAAGCGGAAUUCCUAGUGUAGCGGUGAAAUGCGUAGAUAUUAGGAGGAACACCGGUGGCGAAGGCGGCUUACUGGACUGUAACUGACGUUGAGGCUCGAAGGCGUGGGGAGCAAACAGGAUUAGAUACCCGUGUAGUC
rnacentral:rRNA from 1 species